rnacentral:lncRNA from 1 species
GUACCAUUCAGAACCGGAUCCUUUUCACGUUAUACAUUUUCAUUGAAGUACAUGGACGAAUCAACAAAGAUUCCUGAGCCUUCUCAAGUGACAUCACAUUUAACUGCGUUACUUGGAUCAGAAAUUUCAGCUCCUAUUUUGUUACAGAUUGCAAUAUACUGGAUUGAGCAAAGUUACAAAGUCAUCUACAUUCGCCCCACUCCUCAUACGAAGCUGCCCCCAGACAUCCAUGGAGUAAGCACUAUUCAAGAAAACCUACAGCAGUUCUCAAAUUUACUCAGAUUCUUGUACUUACCUAGCUGGAGUGACCUCCUGCAGUUUCUGUUUUGUGUCCAUGAAGCGGCAAGUAUACCACAUGUAGUACUGGUAGAAAAUCUACAUUUUUAUUGUGCUAUGGAGCCAGGUGUACCUGCUGAUGAGUCCCAUGCAGCAUUGAUUUUAGCAUCCCUCAAAGACUCGGUCACAGCUUGCGCAAGGAAACUGAAAACUUCGACCCACUUGGUUUGUUCAUUUGAUCAUGUAGCCCACAAAGACUUCAAACUUCACCCUGUCUUUGACAUUUUCUUCUCAGAUUCUAUUUGGACUGUUAAAGAGCAUCCUGAUAACAAGAUCACUUUGUCGAGGUCAAGAGAUAUCUUUGAUAAAGAUGAUACUGAUGAGAUCCUUUUUGUCAAGACUCAAGAUAAGAUUUUAUACUUUGAGGGAAUCAAAAAGAUUUUUGCUCAUUGGACAUAUCACUCAUAAAAAAUUCGUCAAAUCUAAAUAAUUAUUUGAUGAAACUAAAAAGAUGUCUUGUUGAAGUUACUUUUUUGUGAACUUCAAUUUCAUUAAAUUAGGUACUUUUUUUAUUUGAAUUACCUUUUCGUGUAAAAUUUAAAAACUUUACGAAAAUGGAAAUAAACUCUUUAUUAAAACUUGUGGGUAAAUAUAAAUCAUGCCUAAAAACAAGUUAAAGUAAGUCAUCGGUGGCUCUUUUAAUGUUAACUCACUUAUAUUGGCCAAUAUCUGACGUAUUUAACUUAUGACGUUUAGAAAUUAUUUACCUACCUCAAAACAGCUUAUUUCAUUCUAUUACUUUGUUUUGAUGUCAAAGCUCCAAAUCUGUGAUUUUUCAAGAGUUAAAGUUAAGUUAUCUGUAAAUACUUCUUGUUAAAUUUUCAAAAACUGGAUAUGUUUCUAAAACUUUUGUUCUUUGACUGCAUUUUGCUCCAAGCACAAUUUUCCUUGUUUUUUUAAUAAAUUUUUUCAAACUUUAGAAGUAGAAGAUCAAACGUUAUUUUCAUUAAUCCUUAAAAAUGUAUAAUACACAUCCAUUAUCUCAGCUCUUAGUUUUGAUUAUUUUUCCAGUAUUUUUACUCGGAAAAAAAAAAAAAAAAUACAGUUGAAAAAAUAAUUCAGCAUUGUAAGAGCUUCCUCAGAAAAAUGUGGCGUAUUUGGGUAUCCAUUCCUUCUCUACUCCCAUUCAGAUCAGCAAACAAACUGUCCUUGAGAGGCAUUCCCUUUGACUAAAUUUUUUUUUGCUCCAGUAAAUUUAGUCUGUCUGCUUGAAGUUAAUAGGAAUGUGUGAUUACUUAUUUUCCACCCUGCUAAAUAAAAGUAAUAAAAACAUACAAAAAAAAAAAUUCUAACUUUUCUGGGAUUGCAGAAAUUUGGUUUUUGACUUAAAACAGACGAGAAGCUUUUCUGAAGCUACAGCCUCUUACAUGUGUCAUCUAAGUGCAAAACUCUUACUACUUAAGGUGAUCCUUCAGUACUUUGGAGAGAGAUUCGACAGUUGAUUGAUUGAUAGAUUAUUUCUUGAUUUUAGGAUAUUUUUCACAAUUUCUGAGCAUCAAAUCACACCGUAGUACUUAAGACACUAUAGUGCACAAAAUUUCAUUUAAGAAACCCUUAAAAGGAACUCAAAAAGUACGUUCCAAGAGAAUGUCGCAAAUUGAAAGGUAGAGCUAUUUAUGAAAAGCUGAGGAACCACCUUAAAACUUGUACUUCAAAUUUUUCAAAGCAGAUAAGUUUAAAUAUUUCCCCUUUUUUUCUUUUCUGACUAACAUGGCAAUACAGCACUUUGUCAAGAUAAAUCGUACAGAAGUUUAAAAGAUAAAGUCUUGAUGUUUGUGCGUCAGAUUAUAGUUCUGAAAUUGGGCUGUUGCAUCUAAUAUGCAACAACUCGAUUUUACACUGAAGGAGAUCCAAGGAGUUUUCUCCUCAUUCAGACUCAUCAAUUGAGGCAAUGGAUGCGAAAAGGGCACUUCUCGAUUGCGGUGUUUCGGAAUCUCUGUUGCCAAUUAAUCUCUUGGAGAAGACUUUAAUGGGAGCUUUUUCCAGAAUUCUUCCCAUAGAAAAUUGUAGAAUCAUAAGGAUUAUUCAGUAGAAUUUCGAGUGAAAAGGAUGCAUUCACUUUCCUUACAAUGAAUGAAAUAUUAGAGGAGACUCUGAAACACUGCAACCGAGAAGUGCCCUUUUCGCAUCCAGUGCCUCAAUUCUGAUACCAAGGUGAUCUACUCCAAGAAAAGGGUGGAUGGGAAAAAGCAAAAUAAAAAAUUACUGAAGUAACAUUAACAUAAUUAAAAUAUGUAAUACUUGAUAAACGUCACUGACGAACAAAGUUACUGCCUUAGUAAUUACAAAACUUAAAAAUACCUAGUCAAUUGAUAAAAAUUAAUCAAUUGUACCUAGUUUUCAUGCAUCAAUUUCCUUUUUUUCACUAAGCUUAUAAUUAGGUU